rnacentral:rRNA from 1 species
AGCAGCCGCGGUAACUCCAGCUCCAAUAGCGUAUAUUAAAGUUGUUGCAGUUAAAAAGCUCGUAGUUGAAUUUCGGGGUUAGUAGGUUGGUCAUGCCUCUGGUAUGUACUGGUCUCACUGAUUCCUCCUUCCUGAUGAACCUUAAUGCCAUUAAUUUGGUGUUUUGGGGAAUUUGGACUGUUACUUUGAAAAAAUUAGAGUGUUUAAAGCAAGCUAACGCUUGAAUACAUUAGCAUGGAAUAAUGAAAUAGGACGUUCGAUCCUAUUUUGUUGGUUUCUAGGAUUGACGUAAUGAUUAAUAGGGAUAGUUGGGGGCAUUAGUAUUCAAUUGUCAGAGGUGAAAUUCUUGGAUUUAUUGAAGACUAACUACUGCGAAAGCAUUUGCCAAGGAUGUUUUCAUUAAUCAAGAACGAAAGUUAGGGGAUCGAAGACGAUCAGAUAACCGUCGUAGUCUUAACCAUAAACUAAUGCCGACUAGGGAUCGGAUGAUGUUAAUUUUUAAUUAGCUCAUUCGGCGCCU